rnacentral:lncRNA from 1 species
GUUCGAAUAAGGGCAAAUUAUUUAGUAUUUUGUCUUCAAUGUUCCUGGCAGCUUAAAGUACCAACUGGGACACUUGUCACUAGUUUGAGAAGUGCAGCCAUAGCCUUCGAAGCCCAACCCCAGGUGCUAGCUUUGAAACCCAACUUUGCCACAGACCAGCAUGUUGAUGGAGAGGCUCUCACCCACAAGCAUGGAGUGGGAGGGUGAUUUCCUGGGAGAAAGAAAGCCACUUUCUUUUUGGAAGCCAACGAAUGCCAAGUAGAUGCCACCAAAGCCAGUGAUGGCUUGUGAAAGCCCAGUGUCCUGGGACAGGAAAGACAAGGGGAUCCCAGCCAAGUCUGACUGCAAUGAGGCCAAACGUUGCCCCAGAGCAAGACUUCAUCUCCCUUUUCCUGACAAACCAUUGAUGGCUGCGUUUCACAUUAACCUAGAUUAAAAGUCUCCUUGAAAUGUAUAAUUGUAAUUAAUUAUUGGUUCAUUUGUUUGUCUCACCCCCACCCCCAGA